GUUCGGUUUAAAAUCCUUGAAAACCAUGCACAGCCCUAGUAGCUGAGAGAAACAAAAAUUGUGUCCUAUAACUCUCUUCAAUGUCCAAAAUUGAAUAAAUUACAACAAAUUAAUACUAUUCUUUUUCGUUACAAAUAAGUACGAUAAAAUCCCUACUUGAAGUCAAAAUGGGACACAAAUAUGGGUUUCAUAGUCCCUACCAAUGGCCAUUGUUCAAAAUUUUCUAUAAAAUUUAACUGACUCGUAGCAUAAAGAACCCCUAUAUUCUACCUGAACGUGUUCUGUUAAAACCACAUACCUUAAAUCACCUGAUUGAUAGCGCACACUUGGAAAAAUUCUGCUGUUUCAAUUACUUCCCUCAGAGCAUUUGGUCCUAAACACUUGAGAACCUCAUUUGCAUCUUUGAAGCAAGAUGAGUGAUCUUUCUUCGGCCAUUGUACAAGCCAACAUCUAGAACAAAACAAGGGAAAAAAGGACAGCAGAAUAAAUUUAGGCAUUUUGGCAUAGCCCAUAUUGGUGGAAUGGAAAAUGAAAUGAGCAUUUUUGACCUUUAGCACUAAAAGAAACUCAUGGCUACAAUAUACAGCAUGAUUGCAGUGGUAUAAAUCUAGAAACAGAGUUCUAUUACUAAAGAUACUGUACAUAAUAAAUUUCAGGUCUAUUGUUCUAAGUCUAAUUUGAUGAUGAAACACGUCUCCAGUUGUCUCUUAAUAUGCACUUCCAUGUUGAAACAAAUCUAAGCUUAUUAAGCUAAUAAAACAUAGUAAACACAAUAGCUCAUUCUAACCAAACAGCCAAAAUUCCAAUAUUUUAACCAUAUUGACCCCCUAAUCCAAGAGGAGACCAGCAUGUAUCAUAAAUCUUCAUGCAGUAGUAAACUAUUCAACCAUGAGAUUGAUGAGGGCAGGGAUCCACCAACCAGAGGAAGAGAGCUGAAGAAAAAGAACCAACGUUGGGCAGUAUAUUCUAGAAGAGUAAAGAAAGUUCCAGAAGGAAAUUCGGUAGAAAAUGCAGAUCCACAGCUGGACAAAGAGGGAAAUUCUGUUGAAAAAGUUGCUGGGAGAGAAUGCAUGUGGAGAGAGGCUCACUUGAGGUAGACAAACUAUAAAGAAGAGAGUUGAGCUGAGAGGGGAUCAUCUUUGGGUAAUAAGAAAUUUGGGGGAUGUUUUCUUUUUCACACAAGCUUGUAAGGUUGGGGCCAGUUUGUAUUCUGCCUAGGAAAUUCAUCUUCUGGUAAUUCUAGUUUUAGUCAUUUCCCGCAUUUUUCAAUUCCUCUAUAUUAAACUCUGGAUUUGCUAUGUUGAAGAAGUUGAAUAGAAUCUGAAGUUGGAAUUGAUUCAAACUUGUGUUGAAUUGUUGGGUGCUGAACUUAAAUUCUUCAGAGCUUUUGUUUACUCUAUCAAAUUGGUCCGACCUGCCAGAUCUGAACCAGCGAUCACCAAGGCUUUACUCUAUCAGAGGUCAUUGUUACCUUUCUUUUCCCAGCCGGCGUGCUAACUCUUCAGCCAAGGCUUGCCCACACACAUCGCCAUCAGUUGCCAGGAUAAUGCGAGACACCUUAUCCAAGUACUCUUUGCAAUUCCAUAGAUACUGAUAUGCUUUGUCCUUUUUCCAUGAUGGUAAAUCUUUAGCAGAAACAAUUUGUGGGGCACCUCCAGGAACACUAACACAAUUACGGAAGCCAGCUUCCUCCACUGAAAGCUUAUCAAUUUCACCUUCAACCUUUAACAGCACCAAAGCAUUAAAUAACAACUGGGGCAUUAAGGCAAAGAAGGAAGGACAGAGUAAGAGCGAGAGAGAUGUAAAUAUAUGGUUAAAAUUGCAAAUAAGGUGAUGAAAUCUACGAUAACAAUUUCAGUCGCUUCAUUUAUGUCAUCCAGCCCGUAUAACCAUUUUUCAGUGCCCUUAUCCUGCCAAAAAAUUUUCUCCAUGGUUCGAUACUUGCAACCAAUAAGAUUUCCAUUUCGUCUAUAAGUAAACGCAAUAAUACCCUGAUUGCCAGCCAUCUGCAUAACAGAAUUUCUCCUGAGGGUUUCUUCAGAUAUCAUUCUAUCACCAAAAUAUGCAAUUAGCUUCUCACCUAUUGGUUCUAGUAUUAUGCCCUCAGCUGUUAUUUGCCUAGGGGAACUGACUUUGAAAAUUAUGUUCAUUCCUUCAUUUGUCACUCUACCAUCUGCAAAAGCAUUGUGUCACCUGUCCUGCCCAUCCACAGCAAGUACGGUAACACCGCCACAUUGCAAAAUCCGCAUCUUCGACAAUAUGUACAGAUAAACUCCUCUCUAUUGAUCUGCCACCUUUGCACUACAUUACCAAAGCUUGGGACAAAGCAAGUUACUGUAAUUUCCAGGUAUGCAAGAAUCAUUGCAGUUAAUCCCAAGAAGUUCCAUCUUCUGCUUCAAGAUCCUCACUUUAUGCUUUUCUAAUCCUGUUCUGUUAGCUGAUUGUAGAAUUAGGAGCCUGGAGUUGCGAUAGCGAGAGAGAAAGCGAGACCCAAUAGGCUCCAGUCUUCUUCUGGUUAAUAUUGGUGCCCAGCAAUUCUUGUUUGAGAGGAAGUGUUUGGAAGGGAUGGGCCUAUUGCAACUAAUCAAACAGUCUUGUUACCAUAUUGAUACAGAUUGAAGUUUUAUUACAUGUUACCAGAAUUAAAAUUAGAGCAAAGUAUAGUAUUCAAUAAUCAGUGGUGUAAUUUACCUAAAAUGGUUUAACAAAUUAUUGCUAGAGUAUAAGAAAAAAGUGAACUUCCAUUAAGAAAUCCUAUUAUGAUCUGCAAAACCAUGGUGAAAGUGUUGCCACGCUAGAAUAAACUAUCAAAAAUCUGAAAUAAUUUUUAGAUCCCAAUAAUUUGGAUUCCCACACCACAACAAUAGUGAGUUUCUCAUACCUCCUAUUGGAUAAGGCAUCGCUUAUGGCUACAAUGACCUUAUUUUGCACCUUUCUAACACAAAUCAUUGGACAUAGAAAGUGAUUAAGUUUCCCAGGAGUAACCGUAUCCAUUUCAAUACCCAACUCUUCCAAUUUGCGCCUUAGAAUCUCCAAUUUUCUUAAGUUCUUCACUUCCGAAUCCCCGCCAUAAACUGGAGCUGGAACAGUGGCAUUUGAGGUGAAGCCGUUAACUUUAAGGAAAUAAGGGUGGGUUUUAGAGAUGGGUUUAGGACAAAAGACUGGUAAAAAACGUUUAGAGGUGUGAUAUGGGUGUCUUGUUGAAGAAAAAGAGGAAGGUGGAGAAAGUGAAGGUGGAGGGGAAGGCUUGAGCAAGAAUUUGGAACCCAUAUGAAGAAGACCAAUGUUUGAGGACGAGAAGACAAGCUUGCGGAGAUGGGUUUGAGAAUUGUAAUGAGCAAAACGAAGCAUCCUUUCGUUGGUCCCUUUGUUGGCAGACUCUCAACAGGGCUCCAUGGCGAUGGAUAGAAAGAGGAGAGGAAGAACGCCAACGGCUUACGACGCUUUGAAGGCUAA
rnacentral:misc_RNA from 1 species